rnacentral:misc_RNA from 1 species
GAUGAAGAACGUAGUGAAAUGCGAUAAGUAAUGUGAAUUGCAGAAUUCAGUGAAUCAUCGAAUCUUUGAACGCACAUUGCGCCCCUUGGUAUUCCGAGGGGCAUGCCUGUUCGAGCGUCAUUUCAACCCUCAAGCACAGCUUGGUCUUGGGCUUCGCCGCUAACCCGGCGGGUCUUAAAAUCAGUGGCGGUGCCGUCGGGCCCUGAGCGCAGUAAUCUCUCUCGCUAUAGGGUCCCGGCGGAUGCUGGCCAGUAACCCCCAAUUUUCUAUGGUUGACCUCGGAUCAGGUAGGGAUACCCGCUGAACUUAAGCAUAUCAAUAAGCGGAGGA